rnacentral:rRNA from 1 species
CACCUACGGGGGGCAGCAGUGGGGAAUUUUGGACAAUGGGCGCAAGCCUGAUCCAGCUAUUCCGCGUGUGGGAUGAAGGCCCUCGGGUUGUAAACCACUUUUGUAGAGAACGAAAAGACACCUUUUAAUAAAGGGUGUUGCUGACGGUACUCUAAGAAUAAGCACCGGCUAACUACGUGCCAGCAGCCGCGGUAAUACGUAGGGUGCGAGCGUUAAUCGGAAUUACUGGGCGUAAAGGGUGCGCAGGCGGUUGAGUAAGACAGAUGUGAAAUCGCCGAGCUUAAAUUGGGAAUGGGAUAUGUGAA